CAUGACCAUUAAUACUUCCGUUUGGGAUCUGGGAAACUUCAGCAAGUCCCUGGUUUUAAUCAGCUGUAUUUUUUAUUCAGACCAGGAACUUAAAUGAGGUCCUCUCGUGACCUAUAUAGCUUUCUAAAGCAAGAGUGAUUCUUUUGCAUGGGGUGGCUCUGGAAUGCAUCAAGGAGAUGAAACGAGCAAUGCUCUGAUGAAUACUUAAUCCCUCACACGGGUCUGCUCUGUUAGGAGAAGCUGAGACGAGUACCCUGCAGCAGGCCUGUGGUGCUCAGUUUUGGAUACUGGCAUGCCAAGAAAUUUAAUUAGAUAUCCCAAGCCCAGUACCCUCAACAUCAGACUACAGAACAGUAUGACACAGCUCACUUGCAUGCUCUUUAUCUCUCUCUUGUUCAAAGAGUAUUGGGUUUUCUGUUGUGGGAAACGGAGAUGAUAAAACAAACAAGUUUUGGUUUUUGUGACAUGGGAAAGAGCUUUCUUCUUAUCUCUAUGUUUCAAUGGACCAAGGGGGUUUCUCUUCUAGCACAACUUAGGAUACUGUCCGGUUCCUGAACCAAAGAUACCUAUCUGACUUUUCAGUCUCAGAAAUAGCUUUUUUAAAUGUGAAAAAUGGUUUUAUUUCAGUUUUUUUCCUUGGUGAUUGCAUGUACCACUCCUGUCUCUUCAUUUUUAACCACCCAGUCUUAACAAUCUAGAUAUGUUCUAUCCAAUCUUAACAAUACAGAGUUGUUUUCUCUUCUCUAUGUAUGCAGCUGACAGAUUCCAAGUAAGGAAGUCUAUUAUAAAGAAUUAAUCUUGAUGUGUAAAAUGGAAUUUUAAAAUGUGCAUGAUAAAAGAAGUUGCAUUUCAUUUCUGCUUAUGCUUAAAUAAUGAAUUCAUUUAUAGCAUUAUAUCCUAGAAAAAUAAUUCUGCAUAGGCCACAACUUGAAUCUAAUUAGAAAACUGCUGUAUUAUGGAAAUGCAUUCCACACAGAGUAGUUUCUGUAUUUAUCAGAUAAGCAGUAUAUGCCAUCGACUAAGGAUCUAAUUAAGGUUUCAAGACGCUGAAAGGUAAGCACUUUAAUAAUUUUAGAUUAAUUUUACUUUUCAUAUAUAGAAAAAUGGAAGAAUACUAACAUAUCUAUUCAAUUUUCAGUUUUGUUUUGAUUUCACCUUGAAGUAUUAGAUACUUCUCAAAGAGCCUAUUUGAACCAAAAUUGUAACAACUUCAUUGAAGGGUAUCAAGGGUCACAUUCUACCGCCAGUUAAAAUUAUACAGCUUCAGGGAUGCAGCAGAGGGCAGGAUUUCCCUCAUAAUUUGAAUCAACUAAACACCUGUUAUCUGGAUAAAGGCACAAAUGAUGAGGAAUUGGAUACUACCUCAAAUGUAAUAAAAAUAUGUCUUCAGUAGCAACUAAAACAGAACACAAAGCAUAUUGCUACUGCAGUUGUGCACAUCUGCACAUCUGAAAUUAGAAACUGUCCCUAACAGACAAUGAGCCACGGCUCCCUAUUUGGAAGCUAUUGGCAGAGCUGUUUAACCUGUUUACUUGCUCAAACACAAAAUGAUCUCUUAAAUUGCUAAAACAGAUUGUAGAGAAAAUUGGCAAGAGAAGAUGUUAACAUGGCCCAGGGCUUCAUUUGUAGGAUUCACAGUGCAAAGCCUGCAGAUACUUGUCUCCAAUGGCUUUUUUUCCUCCAUUGAAUUGAAGAGAAGGAGAAGAAUAGGGAACAGGAAAAAAUAACAGAAACAUCAAUGUCUACAUUUCAACCACCCAUCAAACCAACCAUCAACAAAGAGACUGGCUUUCAGAAAUUAAAGGGAAGCCAUAUGAGGAGCAUCUGAGGUCACUUCAUCUGUUCAGCCUGGAGGAGACUGAGGAGAGAUCUCAUUGCAUUGUACCACUUCCUUGUGAGAGGAGGAGGAGGGGUA